CUAAAGGAGAAACUUUGGUGCAUGGAACAACAUAAUGAGGUCGAAGAAUAAGGUAACUUCUUUUACUUAAUCUAUUUAAUUUUUUUCCUUUUCUAUGCUUAUAUUUAUAUUUAUGUUCAUUGAUUUUAUAUAAAAGAUGUGGGAAUAAGAUAAUAAAUAUUUUAUGAAUUUUGCAAUGCAUUUUCUCUUCAUAGUUGAUGAUAUUUUUUCUUCCUUUUCAUUAUAAUUAUUAUCUAAGCUUUUCGAGAAACUUAUUUCUAUCACUUUAUUUUAAAGUUUAUAAUAUCCAUGUUUCUUCGUUAGUGUUAGAUCUUCCUCACUCUUAUAUAUUUUACAAUUUUGUUUUCAUUUCAUCAUAACUCCCUAUCAACUUAUGUUACAUUUUUGGUCUGGUGGGUUAUCUACUAAAAUGUGUGAGAAGAAGUUCUGUAUUGAAGACGCUAGGUUCUAAUUCUUCCUUCAAAAUAAUUUACAAUCAUAUUUGUAUUCCAUUUUAAGCAAAAAAAAUUUGAUUUUUUGUUGUUGAUAGGUUGAUCAUUGUGAGGUUGAAUCUCAUAAAAAGUUCUAUCCAGAUUUUUUCUCAUCAUAGGGAUAAGGAAUGAGGUGUAUGACUAUCACUCUCAGGAAACAGCUUCUUAUAUUUUGAUAAGCUCUAUCCAGUUAAGUCAGAGGAACUAUGAGGUAUAAAUAUUAUAGUUGGUUAUAUUCAUAUAACGAGACUCAAGUGGUUAUAAUUAUGUUCUUAUUUUAUAAAGCAUUGAUUGCAACAUUUUGGAGAUGCCACGACAAAACCACAUUUCAUACAAUUUGAAUGUUAAGUAAAUAUGUUACAACAAAACCAUAAUAUGUAAGUCAAUGAAUAUUUUACAUUUGUAUGCAACACGAAGAACAAGAAUUUAUAUUAUAGUACUUUUUGAAGAAAAUAGGAGGAGCCCUUACCAUUAUUUAAUAGUUUGCUUGCUUAUACAAAUGUGUGAUAAAUUUGAAUAAGUUAUUUUUUAUAUACACUACUUUAAGACAUGUAUAUAGCCUUAUCACUCUAUAACCCUAAAUAGUUGUAGAAGUGUCAUUUCAUAUAGUUCUUGAAAUACACCUAGAAAGACUCUACCUUGUUUUGUCAUCCCAAAACUGGCUAACUUUAAAGUCAACUUGAAAUCCACCAUCAUUUUUGCUCAUUAAUUGUCUUCGAACAAAAUCCACUAAACAUAGAAAAUUACUUUGACGAUGAUAUUAAAGGUAAAAAAUAUUGUAUAAAUAGAACAUGUAAGAAGAUAAUGACAUAUGGGCAAUAUCUUUAUAAUGAAAAUAUGUUUGACUAAACAAAAUAUUCCUAAUUUUAUUACAAAC
rnacentral:lncRNA from 1 species